GCCUCUGAGGAUGAUUAGUAGAAUACUGAUGUUCCAUGCGGAAACUUUCUGGAGACCUGAACUGAAGAGGC